GGUUUGUUCCCCUGAAGCUGUCUGAAUGUGAUGCAAACCCAAAGGGUUUUCUUUCUUCUUUGUGGCAAUGGAGUUAACACUUGGCAUGUUAAUGUAUCGUCAUGUUAAUUUGUUGGGGAUCUUGAACGGACACUCCUGACUAUGCCUGUCCCAGGUAUGACCGUUCUUUCUUACCUCAUUGUCUGUCGUCAGGUGGUGAAUGACCUACUCUUUAGCGGCUCCAGUGACACGUCUAUCCACGCCCACAACAGCCACAGUUCUCAGUUGUCUUGAAAGCACCACAAAUCCAGAGAAUGCCAGACUUUGAUGACAAAAUUUGCCCAUGAAGGACCACCACGCCACCUUCCUGUUCAAGUAAGCGCAGCACAACAAGGUAGUCUCUGCCCACCAUUGAGAGCAUCCUGUCGGGCUGUAUCACUGCCUGGUACGGCAACUGCACCGUCUUCAACCGCAGGGCUCUCCAGAGGGUGGUGCGGUCUGCCCAACACAUCACCGGGGGCAUACUGCCUGUCCUCCAGGACAUCUACAGCACGCGAUGUCACAGGAAGGCCUAAAAGAUCAUCAAGGACACCAGCCACCCAAGCUACGGCCUGUUCACCCCGCUAUCAUCCAGAAGGCAAGGUCAGUACAGGUGCAUCAAAGCUGGGACCGAGAGACUGAAAAACAGCUUCUAUCUCAAGGCCAUCAGACUGUUAAAUAGCCAUCACUAGCCAGCCUCCAUCCAGUACCCUGCCCCUCACUGUCACCAGCUGACUACCACCCGGUUACUCAACCCUGAACCUUAGAGGCUGCUGCCCUAUGUACAUAGACAUGGAAUCACUGGUCACUUUAGUAAUGUUUACAUACUGUUUUACUAAACUCAUAUGUAUAAUACAAGGACAUCCUGUUCCACUAUUGCUGUACACAUACAUAUACACACACAUAUAUAUGUGGUGGGAUGUAUAAACAUUAUGGACAGCAUGUGGAUAGAAUAUGUGGUAUAUCUGAAGAAUACGUAGGACAGAAUAGUAUAUUAUACUAUAUAUUUAUACUCUGUACUCCAACAUUGCUCAUCCUAAUAUUUCUAUAUUUCUUAAUUCCAUUAUUUUACUUUUAGAGUUGUGUGUAUUGUUAAAUAUUGCUGCACUGUUGGAGCUAGGAACACCAGCAUUUCGCUACACCCACAAUAACAUCUGCUAAAAAUGUGUAUGCGACCAAUACGAUUUGAUUUGAUUCCCUUACACUGGCUUAUGUUUUUAUGAACUGUGUUACAAACAUGGGCUGGUGUAGCUUGGCCCAACAGCCCCAGUUCUCAGGCAGGCAUUUAGCAGAUGUUGUGGGAAAGGUGUUUCUCUUACACAGCACACAAACGCACAUGCAGACCACGCAGACACACACACACACUCUGCUGCAGAUGUCUGUCUUUUACAGGGAGGAGUGCAGUAACUACGGGGCCACUAAUUUGCUCCUCCAUCCAGAUUUCCUUCUCACCUGGCUCAAACUCUCACACCAUCUUUCCCUCCUCACUCUCUCUUCCAACAUGAAAGCUCCUUGAUUGCACCCCCAGCUGUCUGCCUCUCAGACUAUAUUUUGCCUUUGCUUUUCACUGUGCCAGUGUUCCCGGAUGGUAUGGUCUCAGUUUGGACAGGAACUGCUAGUAAGCGAAUGAUAUGGAUGCUGCUAGAUAACACCUGUCUAAAUUUGAUCUUUUCACAUUCAGGCCUGUCAUGACCUGCUGAAUCCUACUUGGGCUUGUGUACAUUAGUGUGCUGUGUGCAGAUGUUGCUACUUGAAAAUGUUCACCAAGAGCAUUCUGUAGUCUUACCUAACUAGCAGAAAUUGUUAAUACGUUAGAAAUUAUUUAAACACACUUUGCUGUAGCCUACAAUUUACUAGUUAACAAAAAAAUAAUGUGUGUCAUAUAAAAUAUAUUCACCCCACCCAGUAUUGUAAUCAAAACUUACCAGAAAGCAUGUAGUCCUUGGCUCAGACAGUGUAGUAUUGUGGAUUGUUUGGCCCUGUCUGGGGGUGUCCUCGGAUGGGGCCACAGUGUCUCCUGACCCCUCCUGUCUCAGCCUCCAGUAUUUAUGCUGCAGUAGUUAAUGUGUCGG
ensembl:lncRNA